rnacentral:rRNA from 1 species
CAGGUCUUAGGAUGCUGACGAGUGGCGGACGGGUGAGUAACGCGUAGGAAUCUGCCCAUUUGAGGGGGAUACCAGUUGGAAACGACUGUUAAUACCGCAUAAUAUCUGUGGAUUAAAGGUGGCUUUCGGGCUGUCGCAGAUGGAUGAGCCUGCGUUGGAUUAGCUAGUUGGUGGGGUAAGGGCCCACCAAGGCUACGAUCCAUAGCUGAUUUGAGAGGAUGAUCAGCCACAUUGGGACUGAGACACGGCCCAAACUCCUACGGGAGGCAGCAGUGGGGAAUAUUGGACAAUGGGGGCAACCCUGAUCCAGCAAUGCCAUGUGUGUGAAGAAGGCCCUAGGGUUGUAAAGCACUUUAGUUGGGGAGGAAAGCCUCAAGGUUAAUAGCCUUGGGGGAGGACGUUACCCAAAGAAUAAGCACCGGCUAACUCCGUGCCAGCAGCCGCGGUAAUACGGGGGGUGCAAGCGUUAAUCGGAAUUACUGGGCGUAAAGGGUCUGUAGGUGGUUUGUUAAGUCAGAUGUGAAAGCCCAGGGCUCAACCUUGGAACUGCAUUUGAUACUGGCAAACUAGAGUACGGUAGAGGAAUGGGGAAUUUCUGGUGUAGCGGUGAAAUGCGUAGAGA